GUCCCCUUCGUCUGAGGCCCGAGGACACCCACGCCCUUUCACGGCGGUAACAGGGUUCGAAUCCCCUAGGGGACGCCA
rnacentral:tRNA from 1 species